rnacentral:rRNA from 1 species
UACGGAGAGUGCGAACGUUGUUCGGAUUCACUGGGCGUAAAGGGCACGUAGGCGGCUUGGCAAAUCGGUCGUGGAAUCCCGACGCUUACCGUCGGAACGGCGGCCGAAAAUACCGAGCUCGAGGGCGUGAGGGGUCACUGGAACUCCUGGUGAAGCGGUGAAAUGCGUAGAUAUCAGGAGGAACGCCGGAGGCGAAGGCGAGUGACUGGCGCGUUCCUGACGCUGAGGUGCGAAAGCUAGGGGAGCAAACAGG